GUGGUAAUUCUAGAGCUAAUACAUGCUAAAAACCUCGACUUCGGAAGGGGUGUAUUUAUUAGAUAAAAAACCAAUGCCCUUCGGGGCUCCUUGGUGAUUCAUAAUAACUUAACGAAUCGCAUGGCCUUGCGCCGGCGAUGGUUCAUUCAAAUUUCUGCCCUAUCAACUUUCGAUGGUAAGAUAGUGGCUUACCAUGGUCUCAACGGGUAACGGGGAAUUAGGGUUCUAUUCCGGAGAGGGAGCCUGAGAAACGGCUACCACAUCCAAGGAAGGCAGCAGGCGCGCAAAUUACCCAAUCCCAAUUCGGGGAGGUAGUGACAAUAAAUACUGAUACGGGGCUCUUUCGGGUCUCGUAAUUGGAAUGAGUACAAUCUAAAUCCCUUAACGAGGAACAAUUGGAGGGCAAGUCUGGUGCCAGCAGCCGCGGUAAUUCCAGCUCCAAUAGCGUAUAUUAAAGUUGUUGCCGUUAAAAAGCUCGUAGUUGAACCUUGGACCUGGCUGAUCUGUCCUCCUAAUCGAGCGCACGGAUUCGGUCGGGUCUUUCCUUCUGGGGAGCCCUAUGCCCUUCACUGGGUGUAGUGGGGAACCAGGACUUUUACCUUGAAAAAAUUAGAGUGUUCAAAGCAGGCCUUUGCUCGAAUACAUUAGCAUGGAAUAAUAGAAUAGGACAUCGGUUCUAUUUUGUUGGUUUCUAGGACCGCUGUAAUGAUUAAUAGGGAUAGUCGGGGGCGUCAGUAUUCAAUUGUCAGAGGUGAAAUUCUUGGAUUUAUUGAAGACUAACUACUGCGAAAGCAUUCGCCAAGGAUGUUUUCAUUAAUCAGUGAACGAAAGUUAGGGGAUCGAAGACGAUCAGAUACCGUCGUAGUCUUAACCAUAAACUAUGCCGACUAGGGAUCGGACGGUGGUUUUUUUAU
rnacentral:rRNA from 4 species